rnacentral:lncRNA from 1 species
CAGAGAAUCAAGCGGUUGCCUUCUGAGGGCUGAAGCGUAUAUCAGUACCAGAACCAGCUGGGGACUUUUCUCAGAUCUUCACUGUGAGAACCUGCUAGAGUCCUUGGAGAUAAAACUCACGAAAGUGUAAAGAUAGCUCUAUGGCAAGGUCUUCUUGGAGUUUUUAAUUCUCAGACUUAACCACAUUCAGCUUCCAGCAAUUCAUCAAUUAGAGUUCAGGUUUUCCUAACCUUGUUCUGGUUCCUGCAGAGGCACAAAGAUUACUGCUUGUGAGUUUCUGCUCUGGAAUGGAUGUUUUCUUUUAAAAAUGGUUUAUUGAAGUAUCAUGUACCUAUCUUAAGUGUACAGCACGAUGAUGUGUAUGCCCAUGUAACCAUCACCUAGAAGGAUGAGAACCACAAGCAUGAGAACAUGAGGAUAAAUACACUUUGGGGAAAAAGAAAACAGACAGAGGCAGCAGAGAAGGAAGACGAGAAGAAGAGAAAAAGAGAAGUAGGAAGAGGAUGAAUUCAUUUCGCUUAUCUGGCAAAUGUGUAAUCUGAGUAAUAGAGCACAGCUGCAAGGUCAUAAGAUUGAUACGUAUAUAUUACACAACCAUGUAUUCCCAAGGAUGUAAGACAUGGAGUAACAACUGCCUUUCUUCUCGCUUCUGUAAGUACGCUUCCUGCAUCACGUAAUUCCCACCACUGAUUGUUUAAAAGGUGGCUGCUCUCUUUGUUCGGGGCUCAGACUUUCCUGGACGCUAGUCCUACUGAGCCAGGUGCUCACCUUAAUAAAGGCUCUCCUGAACUCUGUUCAGUCUCUCCCAUCUCUGAUUGUCCCGCUACAAGACAGUUACCAAAUCCUCCAUCUGCAUAACUCCAUCAGCAAACCCUGCAUUUACCUUCUGGGACAAUGUGGUACUUUCCCUACAUUUUUCUCCCUGUCUCAUCCUUUCAUCUAUUUAUUGCAUAUCUUAAAGUAGAUGUUUUUCACCAACUACACACUGGUAUCUGGUAUUAAUGAGGAUGUCAGUAAAUAAUAUUGGCACCACAGAAAAUAAGUGUAUGUCUGUUCUUUGUCUUCCCAAAUACUAAUCUGUAAAUUUCUUUAGGUUGUGACUUGAGGUCAUCAUAAUCAUUACCUUCUUCCCAAUCCUGAUUCAAACCUUGACCCAUAAUAGGUGCUUAAUACCUAAACAUAUGAAGGA